rnacentral:lncRNA from 1 species
UUGGAGGCAUAAGGAUUAACAAAAACCUAAUAUUUCCAAGCAAAAGAAUUUGAAGAAAUUAAGAAAUAAAAUUUGAAAAUAUAACCCAUAAAUUCAUAAAUUCAUAAAUUCUAAGAGUUGAAAAUAUAUACCUUUUAGCCUUAAAAAUGGAAAUUUGAAGUUGAAAAUUCAAGUGUUGGUGAUGGUGGAGUAGAAAUAAAAAAUAAAGGAAAGAAAGAGAGAUUUUUCCUUCUCUCUCCUAGGGUUUAGUUGUGUUGGAAAAUGGAGUUAGAAGCUGCAGGUUUGGUGCCCAAGAAGUUAGGAGAAGAAAGAAGUAAGAAAAGAAAUGAAAUGAAAGAAAGGAAGGAAAAGAAAAUGGAAAAGGCUUGAUUUUUAUGGUGGAGGAUGAAAA